rnacentral:rRNA from 1 species
AACACGGACCAAGGAGUCUAGCAUGUGCGCGAGUCAUUGGGACUUGCUAAACCUAAAGGCGUAAUGAAAGUGAAGGCUCGCCUCGCGCGUGCCGAGGGAGGAUGGGCGACGUCACGAUGUCGCCCCGCACUCCCGGGGCGUCUCGUUCUCAUUGCGAGAAGAGGCGCACCCAGAGCGUACACGCUGGGACCCGAAAGAUGGUGAACUAUGCCUGGUCAGGACGAAGUCAGGGGAAACCCUGAUGGAGGUCCGUAGCGAUUCUGACGUGCAAAUCGAUCGUCGGAACUGGGUAUAGGGGCGAAAGACUAAUCGAACCAUCUAGUAGCUGGUUCCCUCCGAAGUUUCCCUCAGGAUAGCUGGCGCUCGCUUUGCGAGUCUCAUCCGGUAAAGCGAAUGAUUAGAGGCAUUGGGGUCGAAACGGCCUCAACCUAUUCUCAAACUUUAAAUGGGUGAGAUCUCCGGCUUGCUCAAAUUAUGAAGCCGCGAGAUUAUCACAUGGAUCAGAGUGCCAAGUGGGCCACUUUUGGUAAGCAGAACUGGCGCUGUGGGAUGAACCAAACGCCGAGUUAAAGCGCCUAAAUCGACGCUUAUGGGAUACCAUGAAAGGCGUUGGUAACUUAAGACAGCAGGACGGUGGCCAUGGAAGUCGGAAUCCGCUAG